ACUUCAAAAAUCAUUAAAUACAGUCUAGAUUGGUGCAGUGGCGGAAUAGACUUAGUGAUAUAAACAUUAGACAAGAUGGGAAAGCAACGAAAGACUAGGAAGAUCGUCGAAAGGAAAUUCGCUAAAAUGAAGAAAUUGAUAAGCCCUAGCGAUAGUCGUAUCAAGGAAAGUGAGAGAGCAGCACCGAAAAAGAAAAAGGCGGAGAAUCCACACGAGUUGAAAUUACGGGAAGUACCACAAGCGAGCUCUGCACUAUUCUUCCAGUACAACACGCAACUCGGUCCACCAUACCACAUUCUGGUGGAUACGAAUUUCAUUAAUUUCUCAAUUAAGAACAAACUUGAUAUAGUGCAAAAUAUGAUGGAUUGCCUGUACGCUAAAUGCAUUCCCUACAUUACGGACUGUGUUCUAGGAGAGUUAGAGAAACUUGGUCGUAAAUAUCGCGUAGCUUUAAAGAUAAUAAAGGAUCCUCGUUUCGAGAGAUUAGCUUGCCUUCAUAAGGGUACAUAUGCUGAUGACUGUAUAACACAAAGAGUGACACAGCACAAAUGUUACAUUGUAGCUACAAAUGACAAAGAUUUGAAAAAGAGGAUCAGAAAAAUUCCUGGCGUGCCAAUAAUGUAUGUGGCUGAACAUAAAUAUACUAUAGAGAGAAUGCCUGAUGCAUAUGGGGCUCCUAAAGGAGCCAUCUAGUUGUAAGUUAGAGUAAAUUUUGUUUAUAUUGAAUACUUGUGUUUUAUUUUGAUCUUUUUUCUUCAUGAAGGCAGAAUAGCUGACAUCCAAAUAUUACCCCUCCUGUGAAGUUCUGAAUUUACGAUGUUAAUAGUUUUCGAAAUAUUAGUUUUUGAAAAUUCUAAAAGUUAAGCCCAGGGUGAUAUGCUAAUAUUGGAUUUCCUUUUUAAAUUUUUUUUAUUGAAUUGGUAUUCAAUUAUUUUUAUGUUAAUGUACUCCACUAGUUUGUUAUAAUUAUUAAUACAAAGAUUGAUCACUCAGAAAAAAUUACUUCAAUCCGGCUGGAUUCGAACCGACGUCUUCUAGCAUACCAUACCAGACGCUAUACCAAGUAAGCCACGGAGUGAACUAGCGGACUUGACGAAUUUUGCUGUGUGCUUGUGACGUAUCUUUGUACUUUUUAACCGUAGCGCCAUCUAUGAUAUUUCGUCAUCAUAUUGUAUUUCCAGGGGCUUUACCAUGAACCCUUAUUACGAUUCAGUUUAGGACCUGAAAAUGAAUCGUAGUGAGACAGUGUAUAUCACCAUCCCGCUUUUUUGGCGUUACAAACCUAACUGAACCGUAAUAAGAGUUCAUGGUAAGGCCCCCUUCUUUUUUUUAGUGUAUUAUUUGGCUUCUGUCCAAGGCCCCUGUUGUAUUUAGAUAUUGUAAAAUUAUCAUAGUGCAUUAUUAAAUCUGAACUGCAAAUAGUUCAGUGUAGGCUUACACCAAACUAUUUGA